GGGAAAGAGUAGCAAUACUUGAGACCGGCGCACGGGUGCGUAACGCGUAUGAAACUUACCAUAUACAGGGGGAUAGCUCUCGGAAACGGGAAUUAAUACCCCAUUAAGUAUUUAUUUGGCAUCAUUUGAAUAUUAAAGAUUAAUCGGUAUAUGAUGGUCAUGCGUGCCAUUAGCUAGUUGGUAGUGUAACGGACUACCAAGGCCACGAUGGCUAGGGGCUCUGAGAGGAGAAACCCCCACACUGGUACUGAGACACGGACCAGACUCCUACGGGAGGCAGCAGUGAGGAAUAUUGGUCAAUGGGCGCAAGCCUGAACCAGCCAUGCCGCGUGAAGGAAGACAGUCCUCGUGGUUGUAAACUUCUUUUGUAGUGGGCGAACGCCAUGUCGCGUAUAUGGAAUGACGGUACACUACGAAUAAGCAUCGGCUAACUCCGUGCCAGCAGCCGCGGUAAUACGGAGGAUGCAAGCGUUAUCCGGAUUUAUUGGGUUUAAAGGGUGCGUAGGCGGGCGUAUAAGUCAGAGGUGAAAUCUCCUUGCUCAACAGGGAAACUGCCUUUGAUACUGUAUGUCUUGAGUUAUGUUAGCGUAGGUGGAAUGUGGCAAGUAGCGGUGAAAUGCAUAGAUAUGUCACAGAACGCCGAUCGAGAAAUCAUCCUACGGAACAUACACUGACGCUGAGGCACGAAAGCGUGGGUAUCAAACAGGAUUAGAUACCCUGGUAGUCCACGCAGUAAACGAUGAUGACUGGAUGUUUGCCGGCAUAGGUAAGCGUCUAAGCGAAAGCAUUAAGUCAUCCACCUGGGGAGUACGACGGCAACGUUGAAACUCAAAGGAAUUGACGGGGGCCCGCACAAGCGGAGGAACAUGUGGUUUAAUUCGAUGAUACGCGAGGAACCUUACCUGGGCUUGAAAUCAGAUUGCAUAGAGUAGAGAUAUUCUUUUCCUUCACCGGACUAUCUGGUAGGUGCUGCAUGGCUGUCGUCAGCUCGUGCCGUGAGGUGUCGGGUUAAGUCCCAUAACGAGCGCAACCCCUGUUUUCAGUUGCCAACGGGUCAUGCCGGGAACUCUGAAAAGACUGCCGCCGCAAGGUGAGAGGAAGGAGGGGAUGACGUCAAGUCAGCACGGCUCUUACGUCCAGGGCUACACACGUGUUACAAUGGCCGGUACAGAAGGCAGCGAAAGGGCGACCUAGAGCUAAUCCCAAAAACCGGUCUCAGUUCGGAUUGGAGUCUGCAACCCGACUCCAUGAAGCUGGAUUCGCUAGUAAUCGCGCAUCAGCCAUGGCGCGGUGAAUACGUUCCCGGGCCUUGUACACACCGCCCGUCAAGCCAUGGAAGCCGGGGGAACCUG
rnacentral:rRNA from 1 species